rnacentral:rRNA from 1 species
UACGAAGGGGCUAGCGUUGCUCGGAAUCACUGGGCGUAAAGGGCGCGUAGGCGGCCGAUCAAGUCAGGGGUGAAAGCCUGUGGCUCAACCACAGAAUUGCCUUUGAUACUGUUCGGCUCGAGACCGGAAGAGGUAAGUGGAACUGCGAGUGUAGAGGUGAAAUUCGUAGAUAUUCGCAAGAACACCAGUGGCGAAGGCGGCUUACUGGUCCGGUUCUGACGCUGAGGCGCGAAAGCGUGGGGAGCAAACAGG